UAAUGUUGUUUAUUUCUCUUAUCGCGAAUACUUUUUAGACAAAGGGGCAGUUUGGGAAGCGAAUAUAUUUAUUUAAAGACUUAUAAUGCAUUUAUUAAGUUAUAAACCAUGCAACUUUUACUUAUAAGACAACCUUUACACAUUACGCAGAUGUACGUAUACGUAGGCCGCAAUUAAAAGUGUUUGGAUGAACACUUGGAUAAGGUGAAGUUCCUGAAACUUGCAGUAAAAGUGGCAUGCGAACAUGAUUACUUCAUACAUUUGUUCGUUCCCACGACAGUCGGGUCUACGCAACCGGAACAAACCAGAUUUAUAUCAUGGAUAUCCAUGUUAUAUCUGGCCCAGGACUGUAACUCCAGCAAAACCGCAGAAAUGUUUGGCGAAUUUGUAUGAUAUUACUACAACAACAAUAAAGAAUUCAUCAAAUCGGAAAAUAAA